rnacentral:rRNA from 1 species
CUACGGGGUGCUGCAGUGGGGAAUAUUGGACAAUGGGGGAAACCCUGAUCCAGCAAUGCCGCGUGUGUGAAGAAGGCCUGCGGGUUGUAAAGCACUUUCGGUUGGGAGGACUGCUUCUAGCACUAAUAUUGUUGGAAGUUGACGUUACCUUCAGAAGAAGCACCGGCUAACUCCGUGCCAGCAGCCGCGGUAAUACGGAGGGUGCAAGCGUUAAUCGGAAUUACUGGGCGUAAAGCGCGCGUAGGCGGCUAGAUCAGUCGGGUGUGAAAGCCCCGGGCUUAACCUGGGAACUGCAUCCGAUACUGCCUAGCUUGAGUACAGGAGAGGAGAGUGGAAUUCCACAUGUAGCGGUGAAAUGCGUAGAUAUGUGGAGGAACACCAAUGGCGAAGGCAGCUCUCUGGCCUGAUACUGACGCUGAGGUGCGAAAGCAUGGGGAGCAAACAGGAUUAGAUACCCGAGUAGUC